UGUUCUUUACACAGCUGUGAAAUAAAGGCAGAUUUUGGGGGGUUUCCACUAUGCAGAGUUAUAUGAUGACGCACGAUAACGCAAGACAUGACACGAUUUUAUUUUAAAAGGCUCUGAUCACCUCUGUCACUCAAACAUUAGUACAUUUCACAUUUUGUGAAUUAUAGCUGGUAUUUAUUCCAUAUAUAUAUAUAUAUAUAUAUAUAUAUAUUAGAAAGAAACCGCAGAUGUUCUUCCUGUUUUUAUGGAAUAAUGUCCCAACAUUAACUGAAUCCAGCUCACCAAACUCCACUUCCUGUUUCAGCUGUGUGCCCGCCUUCAGGAUGACAGACAGGCAGAGACACAGAGAGAGAGACAGAUAGAGAGAGAGACAGACAGAUGGAGAGAGAGACAGGGCAGAGAGCUCCUGUCUCUCAGUGGGAGGAGGAAGUUCUCCUCAGUGACUCAGCUGUUGAGGAGCGGGGGGCGAUGAAGGGAACUCGUAUCGUGAACCGAUAAGCACAAGCAGCGGUGGGAAAGAAGUCUCAUGCUUUUAUCUUGGGUGUGGUUGACCUUCGACCCCAGACAAGCUCAGAGGAACCUCGCCACGGAUCCGCUUCUCUUUUUAAAAAAACAUUAUUUUUUAAUCAAGCAACAGCCACAAAGUGCCCUCAAGGUGAGGCCUUCAGACAUCUGAGAAGACAUCCAGGAGAUUGAUGAGUUUCCCCGGUUGGAGCCCCGUCCCCUGCAGAGCGUCGUUGGGUGGAACUGAAACUAAGCUCCUCAGAAACCAGGACCAUCGCCUCCUGCUGAGAGACGAGUGCACCUGCAGACCCAGAGAGCCCCCAGAUGGCCGGCAAGGACUACAACCACCUCUUCAAGCUGCUCAUCAUCGGAGACUCCAGUUAGUGCACUCUGCUCCACUCACUUUACCUGAGGACGUGCAGAUGUUAAACUGUCCUGAGGACAGUUUAGCUCUAGUAGUGUCACUUCCUUCUGCUUCACCACAACUACACAAACUGACCUGAGAAAGAAGAAACGAGCCUCGGCGGUUUCAAACCGACAACCAGGGCAUCGGGCACAUUUGCUACAAACUGCACAGACCUGAGGGGUUUGAAACUUAAACAUCUCAAUACUUGAACCCCAAUGUUACUUAUGGAGGAUGUGACUCAUCAGGUCUGAAAGCAUGAAUGAAUCAUUCUGUCUAAUGCAACGUGAUCUUUAGCAAUACUUAAAUACUUCAUUGGUUUACCUGCAGAUCAGAUUAUAAUUCAUAUCGGUUUGUCAGGUCUCCUUUGAACCUACUUCAAGGUAGUAUUGGUUUACCUUUUCUCCUCUGGGUCAACAGACACCUGACUGGUUCCUCUCCUCCUGAUUGGUCACAUUCAUUUCCUGGUUGUGAGCUAAUCCUGUCCCUCUGAUCUCCUCUCAGAUGUGGGGAAGAGCAGCCUCCUGCUCCGCUUCGCCGACAGCUCCUUCUCCGGUGAGUUACCGCAGCCAGCUGAAGGUAGUCCUGAUCCCCGAAGGUAG
ensembl:lncRNA